CAAAGGCUUGGUCCUGACUUUACUAUCAGCUUUAACACAAUUUAUACAUGCAAGUAUCCGCAGCCCAGUGAGAAUGCCCUUAAUCCCCUGCCCGGGGACGAGGAGCAGGCAUCAGGCACAACACAUUUGCCCAAGACGCCUUGCCAUGCCACACCCCCAAGGGAAUUCAGCAGUAAUAAACAUUAAGCCAUAAGUGUAAACUUGACUUAGCAAGUGUUAAUAGGGGCCGGUAAAACUCGUGCCAGCCACCGCGGUUAUACGAGAGGCCCUAGUUUAUAGAUACGGCGUAAAGGGUGGUUAAGGGACUUACAAAUAAAGCUAAAGGACCUCACGGCCGUUAUACGCUUACGAUUAUCCGAAAUCCAAUUACGAAAGUAGCUUUAAUAUAGCCAACCUGACCCCACGAAAGCUAAAAAACAAACUGGGAUUAGAUACCCCACUAUGCCUAGCCGUAAACCUAGACGUACUUUACAUAAACGUCCGCCAGGGAACUACUAGCACCAGCUUAAAACCCAAAGGACUUGGCGGUGCCUUAGAACCCCCUAGAGGAGCCUGUUAUAUAACCGAUAAUCCUCGUUAAACCUCACCACAUCUAGUCAUCCCCGCCUAUAUACCACCGUCGCCAGCUUACCCUGUGAAGGAACAACAGUAAGCUAAAUAAAUAUAAUUUAGAACGUCAGGUCGAGGUGUAGCGCACGAUGUGGGAAGAAAUGGGCUACAUUUUCUAUUACAGAAAACUUACGAAUAGUACCCUGAAAAUUUACUAGAAGGAGGAUUUAGUAGUAAAAAGGAAAUAGAGUGUCCUUUUGAACCAGGCUCUAAGGCGCGUACACACCGCCCGUCACUCUCCCCUGUCAAACAGCAAAACCGUCUAUAACACCAAAGCAUGGACAAGGGGAGGCAAGUCGUAACAUGGUAAGUGUACCGGAAGGUGCACUUGGAUCAAAC
rnacentral:ncRNA from 1 species